rnacentral:rRNA from 1 species
AGUCAAUAGAUACCCCGGUAGUCCAUGCCGUAAACGAUGAUUGCUAGGUGUGGGGGGUCUGACCCCUUCCGUGCCGGAGUUAAACACAAAUAAGCAAUCCACCUGGGGAGUACGGCCGCAAGGUUGAAACUCAAAGGAAUUGACGGGGGCCCGCACAAGCAGUGGAGUAUGUGGUUUAAUUCGAAGCAACGCGAAGAACCUUACCAGGUCUUGACAUCCACCGAAUCCUGUAGAGAUACGGGAGUGCCCUUCGGGGAACGGUGAGACAGGUGGUGCAUGGUUGUCGUCAGCUCGUGUCGUGAGAUGUUGGGUUAAGUCCCGCAACGAGCGCAACCCUUGUGAAUAGUUGCUACGAAAGAGCACUCUAUUCAGACCGCCGUUGACAAAACGGAGGAAGGUGGGGAUGACGUCAAAUCAUCAUGCCCCUUAUGACCUGGGCUACACACGUACUACAAUGGCCGUUAACAGAGGGAUGCAAUGCCGCGAGGUGGAGCG